GUCUCCUUGUAUCUCUUUGUAUGAUCUUCAUCCCCAUCUAACUCUUAACCCAGUAAGAUCUGCCUAUUGUUUAUGUUUCUUUAAUUUUUGUGAGGUUAAGUACUCAAAAUUUGAUAUUUCUUACUCUUAAUUCUUGAGGUUAUUUGCAGCCAGAGAGGAAUUGAGAAUAUCUGUUGUGUUAAAUCGAGUAAGUAUUUUAUUCACCAGUACUUAUUUCUUAUUCUAUUGUUUGCUUCACUAAUUAAUACAUAAUUUAUGAUUAACGUUUAAUUUUUUUUUCUAAAUCAUGUAUAAAAACGUACGACUAAAAUUAUAACUUUUUUUCACAGGUACAUGAACGUGG
rnacentral:lncRNA from 1 species